rnacentral:misc_RNA from 1 species
ACUGGAGGAGAGGCAUGUCGAUGCCGACGGGGAGGAUUUUGACUGCGACGGUGCGGCCGAAGUAGUCGAUGCCGAGAUGCCCGCGGCGGGACUGGUAAUUGAGCCCGAGGAGGCGGGAGCAGGCGGAGAGGAAGUGGCGUGCGUAGUCGAAGGUGUGGAAUCCGACGAGAUCGGCGUUGAGGAGGGCGCGGAGGAGGUCGUCGCGGACGGGGACGGCGCGGAAGAUCUCGGAGGAGGGGAAGGGGGAGUGGAGGAAGAAGCCGAGGCGGGCGCGGGGGUGCCGGCGGCGGAGAUAGGUGGGGAGGGCGAGGAGGUGGUAGUCGUGGGCCCAGACGUGGCAGCCGUCGGGGUCGCCGGUGGAGUAGAGGGCUUCCGAGACUCGCUCGGCGAAGAGACGGUUGGCGGAGAGGUACGCCCGCCAGAGAGUGGGGUCGAAGAGGGCGGCGCCGCCGCCGAGCGGCAGCAGGCAGUGGAGGAGCGGCCAGAGGUGGUGCUUGCAGAAGCCGUGGUAAAAUUUCUCAUGGAGAUCGGCGGGGAUGAAGACGGGGAUGCAUUUGAAGUGUUCUAGAAGGUGCGAUGCGAGCGCG